rnacentral:rRNA from 1 species
CGAACGGGUGAGUAACGCGUGAGGAAUCUGCCUCAAAGAGGGGGACAACAGUUGGAAACGACUGCUAAUACCGCAUAAGCCCACAGGUCGGCAUCGACCAGAGGGAAAAGGAGCAAUCCGCUUUGAGAUGGCCUCGCGUCCGAUUAGCUAGUUGGUGAGGUAACGGCCCACCAAGGCAACGAUCGGUAGCCGGACUGAGAGGUUGAACGGCCACAUUGGGACUGAGACACGGCCCAG